UACAGAGGUGGCGAGCGUUGUUCGGAUUUACUGGGCGUAAAGGGUGCGUAGGCGGCUUCGUAUGUCGGGUGUGAAAUCCCACGGCCCAACCGUGGAAUGGCAUCCGAAACUGCGGAGCUGGAGUACUGGAGAGGAGAGCGGAAUUCUCGGUGUAGCGGUGAAAUGCGUAGAUAUCGAGAGGAACGCCGGUGGCGAAGGCGGCUCUCUGGACAGAUACUGACGCUGAGGCACGAAAGCUGGGGGAGCAAACAGG
rnacentral:rRNA from 1 species